GGAUGUGGCUCAGAAGUAGAACACAGACCUUGCAUGCCUGAGGCCCUGGGUUUGAAUCCUAGCACAUCCA
rnacentral:tRNA from 1 species